GUCGAGGGGCCGCUCUCCUCUACGGCAGCUUUCCGUCCUCAGCGCUUCUGAGGGAGCCUUACUGUGUAUUUAAGUGCCGCGCUUCCCGCCACUCCUCGGAACAAGGAGCAGGUUAGCGAGUCCCCACGUUCACAGGCGCCCAACUGUCCGUUGGGGUGGGCCGGCGAGCUUGUUGCGGGGUAUCACCACCAGUUCACAGGAGUUCACGGGACUCCAGUGAGCUCCAGCGCCGACCUGCAUGGAGCUGCCCCGCCGUGCACAGAAGACAGCCCAGGGCGAGGGGAAAGCUCUGCUUUCGCGUACGCACAGCUUAGAGCCUAAAAUGGAACCAGGCCAAAAACUCAGCGGAAAGCUCUGUAGGGACCAUUAGUGAGCGACUCAGAAGCGCCCCCUCGCCUCCACCAACCAAAGGGACUGUCGGGGCCAGACAGCAGGGGACACUCAGAGGCUGGGGAUGACAGGUUGGAAUUGCAAGAAAUGCGACAAGGGUGAGAAACUGGCUCUCAUUUUGAAGCCCGGUACCGGGGGAUCCGGGAUGAGGAAUAUAAACAGGUUCUCGGAGAAGAGGGGCAUCUUGUACUUCAGUUCCCCAAAACUGGUCCUCUGGGGUGUCGAGAGGCCGGGCGGCCAGGGAGAAAACGCAGCCUGCGUCCAUCGGCUUGGAUCCGAACGGUACACAAAGUCAAGCCUCCACCCAGGUCUGACGCGGACUCCGCGGGCCCGGGGGGUGUGGUCUUGUCGCCACAGGGUUGGGGAAUUAUGCAAACCUGGCCCUUUCUUCAGCGAGUUGCUCCGCUCGGCCACGUGGACUUGACCGCGCCGAGAGGCCAGGGAAUCCCGCCGCCCUGCGCUGACCUGGGCUGCGGGGGUCGGCGCCCUGGGCUGCCCGCAGAUAAGGGCUUGACUUUUAUUCCUGCGCUCCAAGGACACGUGCCCGAGGCAGCUCCGGGCCUCAGCGAAAUCUGCCCUCGGGUUCUCCUGUGGGCUUCAUCCCUUCCUAGGACCCAAGACCCGGGCCUGCGCAGGAAUGUGCGCGGCGACCUUGCUUUUUCUGCCUACUCCUGGACUCCCCAUCCCACCCCGCAUCCAGAAAUUGUGGGAAACGCGCGACUGACUGUACAGAGGCCGUAGAGGCCCCGGGCCCUGCGCUGCCAACCCCGGGGACCGCCCUGGCCGCAGAUUCGCUCCUGUGGGCUUCGGGGCAGAGACUCAGGAGCAGCGCUCAUCAGACGGGGAUCCGCCCAGCAGCAGAAAGGUAAACGCUUGAAAACCCGCGAGAGGAGCCGGGUCCUGCGAGUGAGGAUUCAUUCUGUGGCCUGGAGUAGGGUUGCAGGUUAAGAGCCCGGAAGGAGAAAGGCGCACUUGCCUGUGGAUCUCCGGCACAAGGAUACUGGAUAGUUUACAGGAUCAACAGGAAGGCUGAAGAAUCGAGGAAAAUCAUUUCAGGAAACACCACAAGGUCACACGCAGGAAAGCCUGGCGCUGUAUAUGAGGAAGAUGUGGCUGCCCCCAGGAACAGAGAAGAAAAUGCUAGUUUUUCUACCAAUAUCCAUGAUCCCGUUCUUUCUUCAGCACACCUGAGUUUUAUAGCGGGCGCAUGGUCACACAGCUGAAGAUUAUACUUCCCAACAUCCUUGCAGCUAAGAUACCCUCAACGGCUUCCGCUGACUCUGGGAAAUGUGCCCCAAGCUUUGAAGAACGGCCCUCACCCCCCUCAGAGUCCAGGACAGAAGGGGAAGGGGCUCUAAAUGCAUCUGACUCUGACACAUUCCCUGGGUCAGAAUUUCUUUCCAGGACACCCUGGAGUCAGGUGCCCUUCCUCUGCUUGAGGCCUUCCCUGAAGUGAUCCAUCGGGCCCCAGUUUAGCUUCUCGCCAAGGCCUGCAAAUUACUGAGACUGUGAUGCCCCAAACUUGUGGGAUCCUCCCUCGGCACCAUCCCCGUAUUCGGAGGCUUGACCCAGAGGUCUCAUUCCCUCCCGGCUCUCACCCUCCGCGUUCAAUCCGGAGUCCGUCUGGAGGGAAGGGAAGACCUGAAGAGGCCGAGGGCACCUGCUGCCAGCUGCGCAAGCGUUAAUCCCACCCAGCCGUCCAGAGAUCGAGAUCCGAUGAGGGGCGAUAGAAACUGUCACGCGCCGGCAGCCUCACGAAGUGCGGAACGCGGUCUGGCCUGGCGGACUGGAACUCCUAGACUGGAGUAUUACUUAUCGGAGCUGCGUCUGACACCGGCCCGACACCUCGUAAAAUAAGGAACUGCGCCUCCUGGCCUCACCAGGCGCCGCCCGCAGGACCCCGGGUCGGAGAAGGCGGAGCAGGGAAAGCCGAGCCAGCCGGAUCGUGGGGCCAGGCCCAGCCCGUCCGCGCCCCGCGGGGUCCCGGGCCGGGAGAGCAGAACCUGCCCGCGUCCUGGGACUUGGCAAGCAGGGCCGAGGCCCCGGACCCAACCGGGAAGGAAGAGGCAGAGCCGGGCCGCUUCUCUUGGGCAGCCGGGAACCGAAAGCGGGUCUGCAGAGAGGCUAGAGUCCUGAGCACGCAGGCCUGCGACGGCCCCAGGCUAUAAAGUAACUCCGCCACAGGGCUGGAGGCCAGGAGGGUCCCAAACCUUAACGAACCUCGCCCUGAGAAUGGGCGCAGGGCCCACAGCCCCUCACAUGAUCCACGCCACCCUUGUACAUACACUCACACUCGGAGAACAAACACGUAAUGCACACGCCCGGCUCCCACGGAGCGCACACAUGCAGUGCACACACCACGCACAGCCGCACCCGAGGCAGGCCCGGCCGGCGCCUGUUAUGAGACCAGGGCCUGCACUUGGAUUCGAGGCCCUCUCCCAUCACAGGUCCCCGCUGAAGCACCCGAAGCGUGGCUAAGGCCAUCCCAGCGCCCUGGGCGGCGUACGGGUAGCUGCUCUCAUCAGAGCCGGGAUUGCCUGGGAGAGGGUGGGCUAGAGCCCAGGCCUCCCUGGACCCCCAACUCCUCACUCCCAUCUCCAGACAAGCUCUUCAGCCCUUGCCCUCGGUCGUCGCCGCCUCCCUGCGCGAUGGGGCCGGGAAACUAGCCCCGCGCCGCGUUGCCCGCUCGGACCGAGUCGGGAUGCCACGGCCACAUGCGCUGUCGGCCGGGUUCCGGAAGCCCACCGGCAGCCUGGCGGAGGCAUCGAAUCCAGCACAGACGAGAAGACUGCGGGGCGGCUGGAAUCCGCUUCCCCAAAGGUGUGGGACCCAGCGCAGCGCGCUCUCUCCAGGGCUCCUUGGGGUCAAGCCCUGGGCUCCACGUUCGCCUCUCUCCCCUUCCCUCCGACAACGGUGCGGUCCCUCCUUCUGCCCGCCCUCGUUCUGGCCUAUAGAAACAACGAAUUCCUCCUCAUCUUUCAAGGCCUGGGUCCAAAGCCACCUCCUCCGUGAAGCCCGCACUACCCCGGGCCCUAAGUCGGUUCUCUAAGCUCUGCAAAGGGCACUUCCCUGUCCCUCGGUCCAGGUCUCCUAUCUGCGCUGGGGUGCGGCGGGUCUCGUCUGCUAGACUGGGAGCUCCUUGAGGGUAGGAACUGGAUCUGAUUCGUUCCCAUUUCCCCAGCCCCCAGCGUGGCCUGGCGCAGAAAAGAGGCACAACAAACAUUUGCUGAAUUGAAUGGAUUUCCCCCUUUAUUUUAUUAAUCCUUCCCCUUCCUUCUUUCCUUCCUUCUUUUCCUUCUUCCUUCCUCCCUCGUUACUUUUUAUUUCUUGGUUAUAUUCAAUUGUCAUGUUUUUCAGGCUCAUUAAAUCCAUUUAGAGACAAAAGAAUAAAAGGCAGAAGGGGAAGGAGGGGGAGGAG